AGUGAACGCUGGCGGUAGGCCUAACACAUGCAAGUCGAACGGCAGCACAGUAAGAGCUUGCUCUUACGGGUGGCGAGUGGCGGACGGGUGAGGAAUACAUCGGAAUCUACCUUUUCGUGGGGGAUAACGUAGGGAAACUUACGCUAAUACCGCAUACGACCUACGGGUGAAAGCAGGGGAUCUUCGGACCUUGCGCGAUUGAAUGAGCCGACGUCGGAUUAGCUAGUUGGCGGGGUAAAGGCCUACCAAGGCGACGAUCCGUAGCUGGUCUGAGAGGAUGAUCAGCCACACUGGAACUGAGACACGGUCCAGACUCCUACGGGAGGCAGCAGUGGGGAAUAUUGGACAAUGGGCGCAAGCCUGAUCCAGCCAUACCGCGUGGGUGAAGAAGGCCUUCGGGUUGUAAAGCCCUUUUGUUGGGAAAGAAAAGCAGCAGGUUAAUACCCCGCUGUUCCGACGGUACCCAAAGAAUAAGCACCGGCUAACUUCGUG
rnacentral:rRNA from 1 species